rnacentral:rRNA from 1 species
GUCGAACGCUUCUUUUUCCACCGGAGCUUGCUCCACCGGAAAAAGAAGAGUGGCGAACGGGUGAGUAACACGUGGGUAACCUGCCCAUCAGAAGGGGAUAACACUUGGAAACAGGUGCUAAUACCGUAUAACAAUCAAAACCGCAUGGUUUUGAUUUGAAAGGCGCUUUCGGGUGUCGCUGAUGGAUGGACCCGCGGUGCAUUAGCUAGUUGGUGAGGUAACGGCUCACCAAGGCCACGAUGCAUAGCCGACCUGAGAGGGUGAUCGGCCACAUUGGGACUGAGACACGGCCCAAACUCCUACGGGAGGCAGCAGUAGGGAAUCUUCGGCAAUGGACGAAAGUCUGACCGAGCAACGCCGCGUGAGUGAAGAAGGUUUUCGGAUCGUAAAACUCUGUUGUUAGAGAAGAACAAGGAUGAGAGUAACUGUUCAUCCCUUGACGGUAUCUAACCAGAAAGCCACGGCUAACUACGUGCCAGCAGCCGCGGUAAUACGUAGGUGGCAAGCGUUGUCCGGAUUUAUUGGGCGUAAAGCGAGCGCAGGCGGUUUCUUAAGUCUGAUGUGAAAGCCCCCGGCUCAACCGGGGAGGGUCAUUGGAAACUGGGAGACUUGAGUGCAGAAGAGGAGAGUGGAAUUCCAUGUGUAGCGGUGAAAUG